UACGUAGGUGGCAAGCGUUGUCCGGAUUUACUGGGCGUAAAGAGCGCGCAGGCGGUCGUAUAAGUCGAAUGUGAAAGCCCCCGGCUCAACUGGGGAGGGUCAUUCGAUACUGUUCGACUCGAAGGCAGGAGAGGGAAGUGGAAUUCCGGGUGUAGUGGUGAAAUGCGUAGAUAUCGGGAAGAACAUCAGUGGCGAAGGCGGCCUGCUGGGCUGUUGCUGACGCUGAGGCGCGACAGCGUGGGGAGCAAACAGG
rnacentral:rRNA from 1 species